UCAUUUGUAGUGUAAAAAUCACUUUAGUUUUUCGUGCUAAAAAUACGUAAAAACGUCGGAUGAG
rnacentral:tRNA from 1 species